UACGUAGGGUGCGAGCGUUAAUCGGAAUUACUGGGCGUAAAGCGUGCGUAGGCGGUUCGUUAAGUUCGUUGUGAAAGCCCCGGGCUCAACCUGGGAAUGGCAAUGGAAACUGGCGGGCUGGAGUAUGGCAGAGGGGGGGUGGAAUUCCGCGUGUAGCAGUGAAAUGCGUAGAGAUGCGGAGGAACACCGAUGGCGAAGGCAGCCCCCUGGGCCAAUACUGACGCUCAGGCACGAAAGCCGUGGGGAGCAAACAGG
rnacentral:rRNA from 1 species